GCAUGUUAUGUUUAUGUUUUUAGUCUAUCGUGUCACACCAGCAACUACCAUAAGAGAAUACAAGGACACGGGAAGGAUCCGCCACUUCUUCUGUGAAAUAUUUCAGCUUCAUUGAGAGAAAAAUGGGAAAUGGAGAAAGUCAAGCUCUAGAGGAGGAAAAGGAUAGAACACGGCAGCGUGAAAGAGAAAUAAGAAGACUGGAAGACAAACUGACAAAGCAGAUCGAGGGAGGUAAAUACUUAAACUUUAUUGAACGAUCUUUUUGGAUUGCAAGAACGUACGUUUAAAAAGCAAAAUACACGUAACUACAUGACAUCUAUGUAAGUGAUACUAGAACUGUAAAAAAUAUAAAGAUGUAUGAUUGUCGAACUUAAAAAGUAACAAUUAUUUCAUGUAAAUCAGACAACUUACAAUGUAUUUUAAAUGCUGUUUUACAGUCAAAAGUAAGACAGAACAUUAUGGAUUUGAAUUUAAAUUGCUAUUACAUUUAAAAAAUUUAAGACUGAAAAAAAAGUUUUUGUAAAAUACAUAUA